UUUUUUAAUUGAAAGCUUGUAUGAAUGGUUGAAUGAGAUAUUAGCUGUUUCAUAAAAAUUAUUUUAGAACUUUAUUUUUUAGUUAAAAAGCUAAAAUAUAAUUAGAGGACGAGAAGACCCUAUAAAGUUUUAUAAUAUAAAAAUAAUAAUUUUUUUAGGAAUUUUUAAAUUUUAAUUUUUAUAUUAUUUUAUUGGGGUGAUAAUAAAAUUUAUUAAACUUUUAUUAUUUUUUUACAUUGAUUUAUGAAUAAAUGAUCCAAUAUUAUUGAUUAAAAAAUUAAAUUACUUUAGGGAUAACAGC
rnacentral:rRNA from 1 species